rnacentral:lncRNA from 1 species
UUCUCUCAUUAUAUAGAGCCAAAUCAAAACUAAAUAUAGAAUUAUCAAUUACAAUAUUAAUUAAUGGUAACCUACAAAAUAUAAACAUUGAUUCCACUGACAAGAAUAAGCAAAACAGCCGUGAUAAUAGUAUUCUUUGCCAUUCUACUCCUUAUGGUUCCUUUUAUUUCUUUUAUAAAAUCGUAAAUUUUGUGCUUGAUUCUUUUGCAGUGGUUUGGUGAUGCUGAAAAGCUAACAAGGGCACUCUUCUCAUUUGCUAGCAAGCUUGCUCCUGUAAUUAUUUUUGUCGAUGAGGUG